rnacentral:lncRNA from 10 species
UUAGGACAAGUUGUUUGAAAUGAGCUUACAUCCUGAAAUAACCCCAAGUUAUUGGGAACAAGACUUUUGAAAAUUUCCUGGAAGAAUGCAUUGUUAUUUUGAACUGGAAGAAAGGUUGAAGUGGUUUGCAAAAAACUUCUUUUCUGAGCACUUCAACAAAGGUUGCCGUGAACAGUGACUGUCUGACAGCAAGGGAUCCUAGCAGUUUCAGUGUCUUCCUGUGGUCUGUGAAGAAGAGAAACUUAACAACAAGAAGAGGGAAAGGGAAGGAUGGUAAAUUAUCUGGAGGCUGUUUCAAUGACAUUGGUCGCCUAAGGAGAAGACACAGGAGUAAUGAGAAGACACAGGAGGUAGAGCAGCACUUGCUGACUCAGAAGCAUUAACAUGAAAGGCUGGAGUGCAGGGCACAAUAAUGGUUGACUGCAGCCUCAACCUCCAGGGCUCAAGGGAUCCUUCCACCUCAGCCUCCCCAGUAGUUGGGAUUACACAGAUAUUUCAAGAUUCAGCAUCAUUUCAGACCCUGAAAAAUCCCUGAAAAUUGAAUUCUCAAUAGAUAAUGCAACUCCACAUAAUAUCUGGAUUUUGUAAAUGCUUGCUAAUAAAUUAUUUUACAACGU